rnacentral:snRNA from 1 species
GGAAUGACUAGAAACCAGUCUCGUUUUACAAUCUUCCCAUUAUGCUUCAGAAAUAUAUAUCACUCAGAUAUAGGACGGCCUUCCCCGAAUAGAGACAGACUGGUCUUCCGUAGAAGGUGUAUGAGUAGCUGCGCUCCCCUGCUAGAACCUCCAAACAAGCUCUUAAGUCCCUGGUCCCCACCUGUAGGGGAAAAGCUUCAUGAGUGGUGAAGCAGGGCUGUAGGUAUCUCUCUGU